GUCGUCGCCAGGCGGGGUCUGAAGGAAGCCGUAGACAAACCUGCCAUGCUUCGGCUUCGCUCAGCGCAGGCUCUGAGGGACACAAACCCCAUAAAGAGGUUGUGAGGUCGGGCGAGUUGGCCUAUGACAAUGAAGCCCUGAGGAAUGUUCAUUGAAAAGAAGUGGAGCUAGUAAGCAUCGGGAAGCGCUACCAGGAACUGCAUUUGGC
rfam:Chloroflexi bacterium RBG_16_48_8 RBG_16_scaffold_5292, whole genome shotgun sequence.